GGAGACCCUCCAGCUCACUCAGCCUUGGGCCAGCAGGUGAGCUGGAGGGCCCAGGGAACAGACUGGGGACUAUGUCCUGCAAGGCUCCAGAGCCCUCACCAAGGCCCUCCACUAGCCAUGGCCCAGGCCUUAAGGAGCAGUGAACCUCUUCCCUCUCCCUAUCUCUGUGACCUAAUAGCAAUGGCCGUCUGCCUGACCUGUGAGACCUGGUCUCCCCGUUUGGGUGACCUGAGGAGACUGAGGACCAGUUGGGUUGGAUGUCUGGUUCCCUCGGGGAUGACAGCUGGGAAGGGUGUGGGAACCUGGCCCUGAAGGAGCUGCCAACUGAGAUCUGCCUCCUCUUAGUCAGGACUGGGACCUUGGAGGGUGAAAGUUGUGCUUUGGGAUCUUGCCCUUUCUAGUCAGGACAGAGAAUACCAUUCAUCUGGUAGAGAUUUACAGGAUCAUCAUUACCUGACUAUGACCAGACCUCAAGAAUGAAGGACCUGACACGGAGAAAUUUGCAACAACUAACCACACCCAUCUGUCACCUUUUGCUUUUAAAGGGACUUCCUGAAAGCUUUCGGUAACUUUGGGGUUCUUAGGGCAUGAAUCUCCACCCAUUUCCUUGUAUGAACCUGUAAUAAACCUUUCUCUGUUCCAAACGCUAAUGUUUUAGUACUGAUGGGCCUCACUGUGCGGCCGGCGCAUAGACUUGCGAUUUCGGUAACUACCAGCAAGUAGGGUCUCAUGGACACUGACUGCUCUCCUGUAACACUCAUAAACACCCACGCUUUGUAUGUCUUCUUCCAUCCACUAAAGACUGUAGAAGGGGUAGCCUAACGGCCAGUGAAUAGAGCCCUCUCUGUUUUCCCCCAUAAUCUGGUAAGAGAUAAGAGAAUUUCAGCCAAUGAGAACCUCCAAUCAUUCUAUUAAAGCCAAUCCAGUCCUUCUCAUUAAGGACCACAUUUCUUACACUGUUGAGUGGCCAGCCAGGCCAGCCAUCUGCACCUCUGUGAGCCAUGCAGGCAGACACACUGAGAGGAGGAGGGGAUCCCAGGGGACCAAACACCUCUGUCAGAUCAAGUCAUCAAACCCUGGCUGGUGAUCCCUGGUGGCAGAAGGGCAGGGAGGCUGGAAGCCCCCAGAGCCUCUCAUUUGGCACCAUUCCUGGCACUGAAAAGAAAUGUGCCCAGAGCGAUGGCAGCUGCAUUGAUCUGAUGAGGAUUAGGGAGACUCUGCAGCUCUCCAAGUGGUUAUUUUCUAUCUUGUGUAUCCUGUAGGGGGUUAAUUAACAUCCUCAACGGUGUGCUAUUCUGGCUGAUUCACCACUGGGGGAUGUAAUUUCAGGUCAUUCUGAAGUUAAGUGAAGACAACAACAACAGCUGCAGCCUUUGUUGAGGUCCAGACUGCCAGCCGCUGAGCAGGCCCCAGCCACGCACUGCAUUCUGUGAGAUGGGCAACUGACCAAUCAGAUGCUCUCACCGGGGGACUGGAACUCUUUAAGUGUCGUCAUGCAGGAAGGCAGUUAUAGCUGAGUCAUCCUGCGAAGGGGAAUUUCCUGGAGCAACUCCUGCUUCAUCCCUACCAGGGUCUGGUAUGAAACUCACACUUCCAGCGUCUGAGCUUGGCCGGUUUCGCCCCAUUGAGCCUCUCAUUGCAGCCAAGUAUUCCUCCUGAAGAAACAGCCUCAGGGUGUGUGGGAUGGAAGAGACUGGCUGGACCUCACCGUGUGUCUACAGUACAGAGCAAAGAGCCUUCACUCCUGCAAGCCUCCAGCCCAGUAAAGGUCUCGUGGGACAUUUUUCACAGCAGGGAAGCAUAAUCCCUGCUGUGGCCACUGUCCUCACCUCACCUUCAUCUUUCUCCCCCUUCCCCAUCAGCCUCACUCCCAAGAGCCCAAUAACCAGUCCCCAGUUGGCCGUUGGUGCUGAAACCUGUACAGAGAUCAUAGAAACAGCAUUACGGCCAAUGCUAAUGUUUAUUUUCUUGCUCCUAGUGAGAUACCAGCCUUUCCUCCACUAAAUUGCUUCACUAUGCUGUACUUGAGACAUGAAAUUUGUCUUUGGUCAUAUUUUCAUCUAGAGCAAAAACAAACUGAUGAAGACCUAGUAUAUAGC
ensembl:lncRNA